rnacentral:rRNA from 1 species
UACGGGGGGGGCAAGCGUUGUUCGGAAUUACUGGGCGUAAAGCGUGCGUAGACGGUUAUGUAAGUCAGGUGUGAAAGCCCCGGGCUCAACCUGGGAAUGGCAUUUGAGACUGCAUAGCUAGGGUGCGGAAGAGGGAAGCGGAAUUUCCGGUGUAGCGGUGAAAUGCGUAGAUAUCGGAAGGAACAUCAGUGGCGAAAGCGGCUUCCUGGUCCAGCACCGACGUUCAGGCACGAAAGCGUGGGGAGCAAACAGG